GACGAACCGUGCGAACGUUGUUCGGAAUCACUGGGCUUAAAGGGCGCGUAGGCGGGCCGGCAAGUCGGGGGUGAAAUCCUCCAGCUCAACUGGAGAACUGCUUCCGAUACUGCCGGUCUCGAGUGGGGUAGGGGCAUGCGGAACGACGGGUGGAGCGGUGAAAUGCGUUGAUAUCCGUCGGAACUCCGGUGGCGAAGGCGGCAUGCUGGACCUCUACUGACGCUGAGGCGCGAAAGCCAGGGGAGCGAACGGG
rnacentral:rRNA from 1 species